UUCUGGCGUCAGGAUGAACGCUGGCGGCGUGCCUAACACAUGCAAGUCGACGAAGCAUACGGACUGGAGAUUCGUCGAAGGACUGUAUGACUAGUGGCGGACGGGUGAGUAAUGUAUGAGCAACCUGCCUUUCAGAGGGGGACGAGCAGUUGGAAACGACUGCUAAUACCGCGUAACGUAUCGUGGGGGCAUCCUCGUGAUACCAAAGGAGCAAUCCGCUGAAAGAUGGGCUCAUAUCUGAUUAGCUUGUUGGCGGGGUAACGGCCCACCAAGGCGACGAUCAGUAGCCGGACUGAGAGGUUGAACGGCCACAUUGGGACUGAGAUACGGCCCAGACUCCUACGGGAGGCAGCAGUGGGGAAUAUUGGGCAAUGGGCGAAAGCCUCGACCCAGCAACGCCGCGUGAAGGAAGAAGGUCUUCGGAUUGUAAACUUCUUUUAUGAGGGACGAAGGACGUGACGGUACCUCAUGAGUAAGCCACGGCUAACUACGUGCCAGCAGCGGC
rnacentral:rRNA from 1 species